CGCGUAGGCGGCGGCCACAGUCAGAUGUGAAAUUCCUGGGCUUAACCUGGGGGCUGCAUUUGAUACGUGGUUGCUUGAGUGGGGAAGAGGGUCGUGGAAUUCCCAGUGUAGAGGUGAAAUUCGUAGAUAUUGGGAAGAACACCGGUGGCGAAGGCGGCGACCUGGUCCUUGACUGACGCUGAGGCGCGAAAGCGUGGGGAGCAAACAGGAUUAGAUACCCUGGUAGUCCACGCCGUAAACGAUGUGCGCUGGAUGUUGGGCGGCCUAGCCGUUCAGUGUCGUAGCUAACGCGAUAAGCGCACCGCCUGGGGAGUACGGCCGCAAGGUUGAA
rnacentral:rRNA from 1 species